GACCGCGUAGCUCAGUUGGAAGAGCAUUGGGCUAGUAUUUUAAAGGUCGUAGGUUCAAAUCCCACCGUGGCCG